UGAAACAGAAACAUUGGAGAGAAAACAUGGUCAUCAAUUAACUGAAAACAAAGUUAAUGGCAAAGUUAAGGAGCUAAAUAAAAUUCCUGGGGAAGAAAUGCCAAGCAUUUCUUCCAAGGAAAAUUUAGCACCUGUAUACCUUAUUUUAGAGGGGAAAGAAAUCAAGGUCUCAUGAAUGGAUAUUGUUCUAUUGCUGAAAAAUGUAAAAAAGCCUGAAAAUGAGGAGUGGAUUUCCAAGCAUUCUAGUAUGACUUGUCAAAAGGUGAAUUCUUCUGGUAUCCUACUCCAUAGUCCUGAUGACAGCACCUUAAGUGAGACAGAUCAUUAUGCAUUCAGGCUUAAAAAGGAAACAUUAAAUGAAGAUAAUAAGGACAAAGGAGAGAUAGCAGCAGAUACAUUUGAUGACUUCACUCAGUCACUUGACAUAGAUAUGGAGAAUUGUAAUUUACCUUCCUUGAGUUAUAAUAAGGAUUCAAUUUGUCAUCAGAAAAAUAAAGUAUUCCUUACACAUAAAUCCCCAGUAGAAUUUAAACAUUCAGAAUGAAUACAAUUGAAAAGAGAAGUUGAGAAUUUAGAAAAGAUAAUUUCAGAACUUUCAGAAAAAAUCCGGAAAAGUAAAUACCAGUUAAAUAAUCAAAACACAGAAUGUGAUAGAAAACUCUGUGGAGGCAGGUUCUCUGCUUCUCUACUGGCUUGCUGCCAGGGCAAAGUAGCCUCACGGAAUCCCAUCCCACUUAGUCUGCUCAGCUGUGAGCUGCCUGCUUUACUCUCUUUGCUGUGCUGAUGUUGCCUGCCUUCAGUUUGUGCCUGAUCUACCAGUCCCCACCCUCAAGCCAAAAUAGACUUUUUCUGGUGAAUUUCAAGGAUAUCUUCUCUUGAUGGGAAGGUGAAAAAGAAAACAGAGAAGAAUCACAGUCGGAAAUCCAUUACCCUUCCUGUGCAAGUUCUGCUCUACUUGAACACGAUGAAUUUCUGUUAUUAAAACUAAGGUUUCAGCAAGAACGAGAUAAAUGGUUUCUUUCAAAAAAAAAUUAAUACAUAAGAUUGACCUCUUGUUAAUUCAGCUUUCUAAAGUUGAAGAUGAGAACCAGCAUCUGUGUGAUUGCCUUAGAAUGACGAAAUUAAUUUUAGAAAAAAACACAGAGAAAAUUAAAGCAGUCUACAUAAAAAGUAAAGGACCUCACAAAGGAAAAUCAUAUUCAAAAGGAAAAAUUUAAUAGAUCAAUUUUCAAACAAGAGUCCAUGAAAGAAAGAUUAACCCAGAUGCAGAAGGGAAUUAAACGGCAUCUAAAACUAUUUGAAGAUGCCCAAAACAAAGAUGUAUUAAAAGUAGUGGUAUCAAAAAGUGUUUGGUGCAGCUUAUGCAUAAUUCUAUGACCCUUUAUGCUGAUACUGAAAAACAAGAUUGUGUGGCAGAAGAGGAAAAUAAGAAGGCAGUUGAUCAUUAUAUCCAUGUAAAAGAGCUGCUACGUAAAUAUGAAAAUGAGAAGGCAGAAAGAAAGAAUAUAAUACGAAAGCUUCAAGAAGAACUUGCGGAUUACCAAAGAGAAAAAUCCAUGACUUUACAUUUGGGUCUGUCACUUUAUCAAAAGGUUUUGGAUAUGGAGCAACUAGAGAAGGAACUAUAUUAUGCUACAAAUAAAGUACGUAUAUAAAAAUUCAGUAAUUUAUAAUUGAUGGAAAGUGUUUUCACUAUAACUAUUUUUUACCAAUAUUAAAACCUUGUUUCUGACAACUGUGCCUGUCAUUUAAACUGACAGAACAAGAUUUAUAA